GAUGAACGCUGGCGGCGUGCCUAAUACAUGCAAGUCGAGCGAAUGGAUUAAGAGCUUGCUCUUAUGAAGUUAGCGGCGGACGGGUGAGUAACACGUGGGUAACCUGCCCAUAAGACUGGGAUAACUCCGGGAAACCGGGGCUAAUACCGGAUAAUAUUUUGAACUGCAUGGUUCAAAAUUGAAAGGCGGCUUCGGCUGUCACUUAUGGAUGGACCCGGGUCGCAUUAGCUAGUUGGUGAGGUAACGGCUCACCAAGGCAACGAUGCGUAGCCGACCUGAGAGGGUGAUCGGCCACACUGGGACUGAGACACGGCCCAGACUCCUACGGGAGGCAGCAGUAGGGAAUCUUCCGCAAUGGACGAAAGUCUGACGGAGCAACGCCGCGUGAGUGAUGGAGGCUUUCGGGUCGUAAAACUCUGUUGUUAGGGAAGAACAAGUGCUAGUUGAAUAAGCUGGCACCUUGACGGUACCUAACCAGAAAGCCACGGCUAACUACGUGCCAGCCGCCGCGGUAA
rnacentral:rRNA from 1 species